UACAGAGGGUGCAAGCGUUGUUCGGAAUCAUUGGGCGUAAAGGGCGCGUAGGCGGUCAGCACAAGUCAGUUGUGAAAUCUCCGGGCUUAACUCGGAAAGGUCAACUGAUACUGUGCGACUAGAGUGCAGAAGGGGCAACUGGAAUUCUCGGUGUAGCGGUGAAAUGCGUAGAUAUCGAGAGGAACACCUGCGGCGAAGGCGGGUUGCUGGGCUGACACUGACGCUGAUGCGCGAAAGCCAGGGGAGCGAACGGG
rnacentral:rRNA from 1 species